rnacentral:rRNA from 1 species
CCAAUAGCGUAUAUUAAAGUUGUUGCAGUUAAAAAGCUCGUAGUUGAAUUUCGGGAUUAGUACGCUGGUCGUGCCUUUGGUAUGUACUGGUGUUACUGAUUCCUACCUUCUGACGAACCGUCAUGUCAUUAAUUUGGUGUGGCGGGAAAUCAGGACUGUUACUUUGAAAAAAUUAGAGUGUUUAAAGCAGGCUCGCGCUUGAAUACAUUAGCAUGGAAUAAUGAAAUAGGACGUUCGAUCCUAUUUUGUUGGUUUCUAGGAUUGACGUAAUGAUUAAUAGGGAUAGUUGGGGGCAUUAGUAUUCAAUUGUCAGAGGUGAAAUUCUUGGAUUUAUUGAAGACUAACUACUGCGAAAGCAUUUGCCAAGGAUGUUUUCAUUAAUCAAGAACGAAAGUUAGGGGAUCGAAGACGAUCAGAUACCGUCGUAGUCUUAACCAUAAACUAUGCCGACUAGGGAUCGGAUGAUGUUAAUUAAUUUUUUAAUGACUCAUUCGGCGCCUUACG